UCCGCCCCGUAGCCGCCCCUUUAACUCCCAGCUCUCGGACCGCGGGAUUUCGAGCUCUUCUCUCGCGAGAUCUUCGCUGUAUUGGAACAGGCUGUGCGUAUGCAGAAAAAUGGAGUAUAUGACAGAAUCCACCGACCGCACCCCUGGACACAUCUUGUGCUGUGAGUGUGGUGUCCCAAUUAGUCCAAAUCCUGCCAAUAUUUGUGUGGCCUGUUUGCGAAGUAAAGUAGACAUCAGCCAAGGCAUUCCGAAACAGGUGUCUGUAUCUUUCUGCAAGCAAUGUCAAAGGUAUGGUGCAGUACUAUUUUAUUCUACUUAAAGUUGAGAUUUAUAUAUAGCAAAGCCACCGGGAUAUGCUGAGAUGACACCAGGGUACAUAGAAUAAAGCCAUAUAGUUGAGAUAUAAUUGUUAUUUAUGUUGGUGUCGCUAAAGACUUUAGGAUUUUCAGUUUUGUAGUGUACAUUUCUAGUUUGCCCUGCUCAUCUGGUAAAGUUAAUGUAAAGGUAUUUGAAUCUGCUUUUAAUAAGUUUGAUGUAUGUGGUUAAUAGAUACGAGCUGAUGUUCGUAAGGGUAAGUGAAAGCAAAUUACUAAGGACAUAAUAUUGUUAUUAUCAUGAGGGUUUUUUUUAUUUCGUCACCAGAAGCUAGGUAUGAUAAAAAGCUUCUGAAGUUUUAACGUUUUAAGUAAUUUGGCAAGGUGUUUUAAAAAUCUAGUAAAAUGCCAGUGUAACAAAAUGAUUAUAGUUAGCUAUUAACAUGAAACUGCCUAGUGACGCUGCCCAUAUAAAGUUAAUUGCCUGUGAUUUCCUAAAUGAGUUAGGACUCCAGAAGUUCUUAACUUUUUUGGGGGGUUGGGGGGUUGGUUCAUGAAUCCCUUUGGGAAUUUGAAAACUAUCUUUCCAGAAAAAUACUUAAAAUGUACAUAUAUACAAACACAUGAAGCUUUACUAUUUUAGGGAGUUUACAGUUUGCAAGUUUGGCAAGUAUGAGGUUUGAUCAGUUACAGAUAGUUGGUCUUAAAAGCAUGGUGGAGUGAAAGAGCACUGGACAAAGAAUCGGGAGACCUAGUUCGUCUUGGAUUUCUCAUAGACUAGUUUUUUGAAACUCUGCUAAUUAACCUUUCUAAGGCUUAAUUUCCUCAUCAGAAUGAAAGCGUUUUAUUAGAUGAUAGAGGAAGUCCUUUCUGACUCCAAAAACAUGCUUAUAAUAAAGGAACCUAUAUAAGGUUUUUGAAUGAACCUUUCAAAGUGAAAAUCAGGUGCCUGGCGGGCUCAGGAGGUAGCUUUUGACUCUGGAUCUUGGGGUUGUGGUUUCAAGCCCCACGUUGGGUGUAGAGAUUACGUAAAAAUAAAAUCUAAUAAAUAAAAUUGAUAAUUAGAACUUUCACUUAACAAGUAUAGCAAAAAUAAGCACACAUAUAAUAUAUUUAGAAGUAUUACAUAUUUAACAAACAUUUAUUGAGCACUUACUAUGUGCUUGGCACUGUUC